rnacentral:rRNA from 1 species
GACGAACGCUGGCGGCGUGCUUAACACAUGCAAGUCGAACGGAAAGGCCCUGCUUUUGUGGGGUGCUCGAGUGGCGAACGGGUGAGUAACACGUGAGUAACCUGCCCUUGACUUUGGGAUAACUUCAGGAAACUGGGGCUAAUACCGGAUAGGAGCUCCUGCUGCAUGGUGGGGGUUGGAAAGUUUCGGCGGUUGGGGAUGGACUCGCGGCUUAUCAGCUUGUUGGUGGGGUAGUGGCUUACCAAGGCUUUGACGGGUAGCCGGCCUGAGAGGGUGACCGGCCACAUGGGGACUGGGAUACGGCCCAGACUCCUACGGGAGGCAGCAGUGGGGAAUAUUGCACAAUGGGCGGAAGCCUGAUGCAGCAACGCCGCGUGGGGGAUGACGGCCUUCGGGUUGUAAACCGCUUUCGCCUGUGACGAAGCGUGAGUGACGGUAAUGGGUAAAGAAGCACCGGCUAACUACGU